GACGAACGCUGGCGGCGUGCUUAACACAUGCAAGUCGAACGGAAAGGCCCUGCUUUUGUGGGGUGCUCGAGUGGCGAACGGGUGAGUAACACGUGAGUAACCUGCCCUUGACUUUGUGAUAACUUCAGGAAACUGGGGCUAAUACCGGAUAGGUGCUCCUGCUGCAUGGUGGGGGUUGGAAAGUUUCGGCUGUUGGGGAUGGACUCGCGGCUUAUCAGCUUGUUGGUUGGGUAGUUGCUUACCAAGGCAUCGAAGGCUAGCCGGCCUGAGUGGGUGACCGGCCACAUUGGUACUAAGAGACGGCCCAGACUCGUACGGGAGGCAGCAGGGGGGAAUAUUGCACAAUCGUCGGAAGCCUGAUGCAGCAACGCCGCGUGCGGGAUGACGGCCUUCGGGUUGUAAACCGCAUUCGCCUGUGACGAAGCGUGAGUGACGGUAAUGGGUAAAGAAGCACCGGCUAACUACGUG
rnacentral:rRNA from 1 species